rnacentral:ncRNA from 1 species
CGUCCGCCUUCCCCGCACAGGAGGGCGGAGCGGGGCCCGGCGCUCUCUGCCCUGAUCGCGCCCGGCCUCAGGUCGGCCUCUCCGGCCGCGGGGUCCGCACACCCCACGGUCCCGGCGGGCCGAUGGCGGCUCCGGGCUGCGGUGCCGAACCGGGUCGAGGGUCCCGGGUCUGGCGC